UGCACUACGGUGCAGAAGUAGUUGAUGCCAAGCUUCCAGGAAAAGCCUCUAAGCAUCAGGUAACACAGAAUCGUACCCCAAACCGACACAGGUGGUCAGGUAGAGAAUACCAAGGCGCUUGAGAGAACUCGGGUGAAGGAACUAGGCAAAAUGGUGCCGUAACUUCGGGAGAAGGCACGCUGGCGCGUAGGUGAAGAGACUUGCUCUCGGAGCUGAAGCCAGUCGCAGAUACCAGCUGGCUGCAACUGUUUAAUAAAAACACAGCACUGUGCAAACACGAAAGUGGACGUAUACGGUGUGACGCCUGCCCGGUGCUGGAAGGUUAAUUGAUGGGGUCAGCCGCAAGGCGAAGCUCUUGAUCGAAGCCCCAGUAAACGGCGGCCGUAACUAUAACGGUCCUAAGGUAGCGAAAUUCCUUGUCGGGUAAGUUCCGACCUGCACGAAUGGCGUAAUGAUGGCCAGGCUGUCUCCACCCGAGACUCAGUGAAAUUGAACUCGCUGUGAAGAUGCAGUGUACCCGCGGCAAGACGGAAAGACCCCGUGAACCUUUACUAUAGCUUGACACUGAACAUUGAGCCUUGAUGUGUAGGAUAGGUGGGAGGCUUUGAAGCGUGGACGCCAGUCUGCGUGGAGCCAACCUUGAAAUACCACCCUUUAAUGUUUGAUGUUCUAACUCGGCCCCAUAAUCUGGGGUGAGGACAGUGUCUGGUGGGUAGUUUGACUGGGGCGGUCUCCUCCCAAAGAGUAACGGAGGAGCACGAAGGUUAGCUAAUCACGGUCGGACAUCGUGAGGUUAGUGCAAAGGCAUAAGCUAGCUUGACUGCGAGAGUGACGGCUCGAGCAGGUACGAAAGUAGGUCUUAGUGAUCCGGUGGUUCUGAAUGGAAGGGCCAUCGCUCAACGGAUAAAAGGUACUCCGGGGAUAACAGGCUGAUACCGCCCAAGAGUUCAUAUCGACGGCGGUGUUUGGCACCUCGAUGUCGGCUCAUCACAUCCUGGGGCUGAAGUAGGUCCCAAGGGUAUGGCUGUUCGCCAUUUAAAGUGGUACGCGAGCUGGGUUUAGAACGUCGUGAGACAGUUCGGUCCCUAUCUGCCGUGGGCGUUGGAAGAUUGAGAGGGGUUGCUCCUAGUACGAGAGGACCGGAGUGAACGCACCACUGGUGUUCGGGUUGUCAUGCCAAUGGCACUGCCCGGUAGCUAAGUGCGGAAAAGAUAAGCGCUGAAAGCAUCUAAGCGCGAAACUUGCCUCGAGAUGA
rnacentral:rRNA from 1 species